ACUCCUACGGGAGGCAGCAGUGGGGAAUCUUAGACAAUGGGCGCAAGCCUGAUCUAGCCAUGCCGCGUGAGUGAUGAAGGCCUUAGGGUCGUAAAAGCUCUUUCGCCUGUGAUGAUAAUGACAGUAGCAGGUAAAGAAACCCCGGCUAACUCCGUGCCAGCAGCCGCGGUAAUACGGAGGGGGGUUAGCGUUGUUCGGAAUUACUGGGGCGUAAAGCGCACGUAGGCGGAUUGGAAAGUUGGGGGGUGAAAUCCCGGGGCUCAACCCCGGAACGGCCUCCAAAACUCCCAGUCUGGAGUUCGAGAGAGGUGAGUGGAAUUCCGAGUGUAGAGGUGAAAUUCGUAGAUAUUCGGAGGAACACCAGUGGCGAAGGCGGCUCACUGGCUCGAUACUGACACUCAGAUGCGAAAGCGUGGGGAGCAAACAGGAUUAGAUACCCUGGUAGCGACUGA
rnacentral:rRNA from 1 species